rnacentral:rRNA from 1 species
AACGAACGCUGGCGGCAUGCCUAACACAUGCAAGUCGAACGAGACCUUCGGGUCUAGUGGCGCACGGGUGCGUAACGCGUGGGAACCUGCCCUUAGGUUCGGAAUAACUCCCCGUAAGGGGUGCUAAUACCGGAUAAUGUCUUCGGACCAAAGAUUUAUCGCCUUUGGAUGGGCCCGCGUUGGAUUAGCUAGUUGGUAGGGUAAAAGCCUACCAAGGCGACGAUCCAUAGCUGGUCUGAGAGGAUGAUCAGCCACACUGGGACUGGGACACGGCCCAGACUCCUACGGGAGGCAGCAGUGGGGAAUAUUGGACAAUGGGCGGAAGCCUGAUCCAGCAAUGCCGCGUGAGUGAUGAAGGCCUUAGGGUUGUAAAGCUCUUUUACCCGGGAUGAUAAUGACAGUACCGGGAGAAUAAGCUCCGGCUAACUCCGUG